CCGCCCCUGGAUGGCGGUCACCUCCUCGGGGCUGCGGGCCUCGAUCGGAAUCUCCGCCACGCCGUCAUCGAGGUUCCAGUCGAUGGUGGAGGC
rnacentral:tRNA from 1 species